GCGAUAAGACAUUUUGAAUAGUCAAUAGUAGCAAUUUGUUGAUUUAUUUUAAUUUAAUUUUUGUGAAUUGAGUACAUUUAUAGUUUGUCUAUAAAAAGGAGGAAGAUGUGUAGGAGCUAAUAACAUACAUACAUAUACCAAAAUAACAAGAUGAAGUCUUUUCUUAUAAUACUAAUUACAGUUUUGCUGUCAUCUGUUCUCUUCUUCCCAUCUCCAUUGGUCCAUGCUCGACAAUUAGUAGAGAAAGGUUCAGUAGGUGGAGGAGCGAAAGAUCCUAGCAAACCAGCUUGUAGGAUCGGCCCCGGCGGCCGCUACGUAUGCAACCCAGCGCCGCCUUGUAAUAACCCUUACAAGCGAAAUUGCAUAAAGAACUAAUGAAUAUCCCAACGUGGUCGAGUCGAGACACUUAAUUAUAUGCUUGGACUUUUUUUAUUUAUAUGUUCAAUAAUUAUUAAGUUAUAAACCUAUAUAUAAUAAGAGGAACAUAUAUAUAUGUAAGGGCUUGAAAUUGUGGGGAAUAUAUAUAUGUUUCGGCGGGUCUCGAUCGUCUAUAUAAUAUGAUCAUGAUUAUUGGUAAGUGUACGUUAUUGAUGUGUUAAUUAAGAUCAUCAAUUAUAUAGUAAGUUUUCUUUUGAUAUA